UUCAGCUUCACCUAGCAGGUGUUAUCAGAA
rnacentral:piRNA from 1 species